GCCUAGACAGAUGUGGCAGCUAUAGUCAAGAGCCAUGGGGUUGUCUGAAGAGACCUGGGUACAGUGUUGGAAGAGGCUGAAUGACCUCCUCUCUGCAAAGGUAAAAUGGAGUUGAUUAGAGAAAGAGAGAUGUGACCCCAUAUGAAAUCUGCUUGGAUACAAACCCAUGCGACGUGGUUUUUAUGGGGGCAGAGGCCCAGGUCAAAGCUUAUUGAAGAUAAGGUACACAUUUUAACACCUGGACACAAAGGAGGCGGCAGCUGGUCUUGCUGUGCCCGAACUCUCAGGCUUAGUCAAACACAGAGACUUGGGAAAGAUGACCAAAAAAAAGCUGCUGCUAUACUAAACAGAUGAAAAGGACUGUUUUUGAAUUAACGACCAAGCAGUAUGUUGAUGAGGACAGAUUCCUUGUUCAAAGAGGCGAGGCUUAUGGAGUGUUAAAGACUAAGGAGUCCCCAGAGGUGCCUUUCUACAGAAGACCCAGUUGAUUAACAGAAGAUUGAGUGAAGAGACUUUCUUUUAAAAGGACACUGAAGAUUAACCUCGGUGGGGCAAGGAAAAGAGAUCCCGUUGAAUCUGGGUAGACCUUGGGACUUUAAAUACAAGGUCACAUCUCUGCUGAAAGUGUGGUGUAAUGCAUAAAUGUGGUGUGAAGUUUUCAAUUAUGUUAAGAAGUCAAUGGGGAGUACCUUUUCUAGAGUUUGGCAUAUAAGGGGCUGAUCAUUUAAAACUGAGAUGAGGAGAACUUUCUUCACUCAAAAUGUUGUGAAUCCUUGGAAUUCUCUAUCCCAAAGGAUUGUGGAUGCUCCAUUAAGGCUGCGGUACACAGAUUUUUGGUCUCUAAGGGAAUUAAGGGAUAUGGGGAACUGACAGGAAAAUGGAGAUGAAACCUAAGAUCAGUCAUGAUUAUACUAAAUGGUGAAGCAGGCAAGAUGGGCCAUGUGGUCUACUCCUGCUCCUAUUUCCUAUUUUCUUACAUACUAAGUAGAGCUUAGUUGAUGUUGAUUUUAGUAUUUUAGUUUGUUUGCUACAGGAAAGUCUAAAAUUCUAUUGUCUAGUGUGUGUGUGUGUGUGUGUUUUUCCUGAGUAAACUUGGCUGAACCUGGCAGUAUUACUGAACUAUGCUUCUGAAAAUCUUCAUAUUGAAAUUACCACUAUGAUUUGUCUAACAGUGGGAGAUGCAAUUACAUUUAUAAGUACUUCCAAUAACUGAAGAGGUAGACAAUCUAAUAUGAUGCAAUAUAAUGUCGCCUCAAUUAUUUUCAAAAUUAAUGUUAGAAUUCUAAAACAUGGUUAUUUUGAAAUACAAAUUGAAGGGAUUUUAAGGAGCAUAAACAAAUUUAAACUAAAAACAGGAGGUAUUAUUACAAAUAUUGAAUUGCAUUAUCUCAGAUGUGAUUAAUAUGGGGACAGUAUAUGGGGAACGUAAUUACUCCUGUGCAGAAUAUAUAGUGAUCCUGUCAGUCCUUGGUAGAAGACAAGGUGUAUAUACCUUUUGGUAUAUUGUGAGGAGGCGAUGGCGUAGUGAUAUUGUCAUGGGACAAUAAUCCAGAGACCCAGGGUAAUGCUCUGGGGACUGGGGUUCAAAUCCUGCCACAGCACAUGGUGGAAUUUAAAUACAAUAAAAAAUCUGGAAUUAAAAGUCCAAUGAAGCAGGCAAGAUGAGCCAUGCGGUCUACUCCUGCUCUUAUUUCCUUAAGUACUAAGUGGUGUUUAGUCGAUGUUGAUUUUAGUAUUUUAGUUUGUUUGUUACAGUAAAAAUCUAAAAUCCUGUUGUCAAUGGAUACAAACCUAUGCGACGUGGUGUGUGUAUGUAUUUUUCCUUAGUAAACUUGGCUGAACCUGGUAAUAUUACUGUAAUAUGCUACUGAAAGUCUUUAUAUUGAAAUUACCACUAUGAUUUGUCCAUUGUCGAUUGUUGUAAAAACCCAUCUGGUUCAUUAA